GCGGGGGUAGCCAAGUGGCCAACGGCGGCAGGUUCAGGGCCUGUUCCUGAAGAGGUCCGAGGGUUCGAAUCCCUUCCCCCGCA
rnacentral:tRNA from 4 species